ensembl:lncRNA
UUCAGCUGCAAAGAAAAAGAUCAAAGCAGCAGCUCCAAUCAAAGGUACAGCCUGUUUCUAUGGAAACAGUCAGCAAACAACAGUGAUUUAUAAACACUGAUCAGCUUUACAUCAUAAACACGCUCAUUUGUUACAGAACCAACAAAACGAGCUGCACCGAAAGACGGUAAAUCACUUCUUUAAUGUUCCUUUGAUCCUUUAAUUUCAUGAGCGGUUGAAGCCAAACUCACUGUCAAGUUUUAAACUGAACUUUUUUACCUCCUCAGAAUGUUGCAUUUUAAUGAUGAUUAUGUAAAACAUCACGGUCGUCAGGUUUUCAGUGUGUCGCUGGAGAUUAAGCUGAUUCAGGUCAAUAAUAACGGCUCGUUUAUUCAGAGCCCGCGGCGCCGCGGCAGCGGAGGAAACAGGCCUCACAAAAGACAGGUGACAAAACACACACACGCACACGCACACGCACACACACACACACACACACACACACACACACACACACCUCACUGAUUAAUUCAUUGAUUUUGCUCCUCUGAGAAGAAUCUGUCAGGACUAAAGUCAAAGCAGCUGCAGCAACGAAAGGUACGAACGUUUGAUAUGGUCCACUUUAUUCUGGGUUUAAUCUGGAGUCUGACAUUAGUCCAACUAAACCAGAACCACCACCCGGACCAGGACCAUCACUGGGACCCAUCAGACUGAGAACCAGAGCCAUCAGCAGAGCCAAUACCACGUUAGAGAAACAAGAGAAACCAGCUAGAACCUCAUCGGAACCAGGCCGAAAGAAAACAAAACUGAUGCCUGAGACAAAAAGUAAAGAAGAGAAAGAUGAAAAGAAACCUGUGAAAGAUGCUGCAGAGGAAACAAAGACUGAAGAAAGUACAAAAGAGAAGAAGAAAGCAGGUCAGAAAUAUUUCCAGUGUAUUUAUUUCCCGGGUAAAAAUGCACAGUACCCGCUGCGACCUUUCACCCCGGCGAUGCCCCCUCCCAUGAUGUCCCCGGCGCUCAGGUCCAUGCUGGAGCAGCAUCGCGCCACGAGGACAGCAGGACAAUAGGACAGCUUGGUCUUGCCUCAUUUUUGACAGCACUGUGUCUUCCGGGCCACCAGGAGGCGACGUUUGUGAACAGACUGGACAGUUUUCUUUCAUACACGACUUUUUCUUUUGUGGAUAAGCUCCUGGGAAUUCUAAGAAUUCUGGUGAUGUUUUCCUUUCACGCUUCUCUUUGACCUAAAGCAGAUUUUUGCGUGUCCUAAAUAUAACAUCAAGUCAUCUGCACACAAAUGUAAACUCAAGCCAAAAUUGUGGUAAUUUCCCAGACUUGAAAACAUAAAAUCCAGAUUAAUUCAGACUGAAUCAGGAAAUCCUGGUUGUUUCGGACGUGGUGAUGCUCUUGACAGGGCGAGCAGCACGUUUCAGCAGCCUCUGAAACUCCAGAACAGGCGAAAAUUCCAGGAAAAUUCCAGAAGUUCCCACAGCUGAUCCAUGCAGAGUCCCCGUCUCAUUGCCGCAUCACAAACUUAUUCUCAGAUAUCAGAUUCAAUUAAGUCCUUCACCCUCACAGGAGGAAUAAAUGUGUUGGAGUUCAUUUCUCCAUUUAGUACUUGAACAUUGUGAGUUAGGGUGCAGUCAGAUUGCUUUUGUUGUCUCAUUGAACUUAAUCCAGCGAUGGGGAGAAUCUGCACAACGUUAUUGUGACCAAUGAGACGGAGUGAUGUGUGAGGGGAUGAAUGUUGAUCAUCAUUUGUUUCUGGGGGCUGAUGUUUCUGGUUACCUCACUGCUGCCUCUCAGUGUCCAUUUCUGACAGAUGUCAGCAGUUUUCUGUUGUCUUAGCAAUGAAGACCUCCAGAACCGCGUCUAGCGGGCGUUUGUCCACAGUCUCCAUGACAGGUCCUGAUCUUAAACCCCCAGUGGUUUUUAAAUGGUCGACUUAAGGCAGUUUUAACAGUUGUUAAAGUGCACAGGAAGUUAAAUUGCACUUUGAAUACCAACAACAUGACUUUUGGAUGUAAAACCAAAGUGAAAUCUGCUAACUUAGCAUGUAACAUGAGGUCAAUCUUGUCCUAAGAUCCCCAAUAAGUUGUGUUGCGCUAAAAGCAGUGGCUAUGUUACUAAAAGCAGUGGCUAUGUUACUAAAAGCAGUGGCUAUGUUACUAAAAGCAGUGGCUAUGUUACUGUGGCGGCUAAUGCUGCAUUUCCACUGAGCACUACGGUUCGUUUCAGGUCAGUAUGUUGAGCUUGAGAAUGAUGACCUGAUCUGGCUGUUGUCGUGGACCAAUCACAGGAGUGAUAGCCUCCACCCACACCGCUGCGUCGCAUCACUGAACUGAAUGCUGCCCCCGUUGUAACUGCAGAUUUACUGCACUUUGACACAUUAUCUGUAAACAAAGCUUAAACAGUAUCGGACGACCAUCAGCCAGGUGAUGUUAGAAUGUUGAUCUCAGGGGAUGGAUUGUUAAGAAAAAAGGUGUGAGGUCAAUUCUGGGUUAAUAAAUUCAACUAUGAAGGGGACCUCUGUGUGGAAAAAAGCUACCACAGUAGCUAGCCCUUUAGGGUUCGCUAAUGUUGUUGUCACCAACAACACGGCAGAAUAACAAAAGGUCAGCUAGCUGCGAGUGUGAUUUAAGGUGUGAAUCUUUGAGGUGUGAUAUAAACUCGGGGUUAAUUACAGUCAGCCGGGGUGAUGAAACAGGCGGGUAAUAUCUGUUACGUGAUCCACCUUUAGCCCAGUGGCUGAAACUUAAACUGGUCUGAAAAUGUGUAGGUUAGCGUGGGUAAAGAUGCUGUCAAAGCAAAUAAUUUGUCGUUUUUAUCCUAGAGUCGUUUUUAAAGGCAGAUGACUGUGCUGCCACCUAGAGGGGCGGCUGCAGCUCCCCCACUUUUAAGUCAAAAUAACGAAGGUUGUUAUCGAGGUGAUCAGUUAGGAUAUGAUUGACGGGAGGUAACACGACUGACAGCUCAGACAGGACAGAGGCGCUUUAGGUGCAAAUCAUGCUAACGUGAUGUAAAGAUGGCGACGCCUGUGUCGUAGCUUUAGGACUUCUUUAUUUGUACAGAUGAUGUUACUGUAUGUUUGGCCUGCCUCUGCCUACAUUAUAUAUGGUUUGGUUGAUGAAUUAGUCAUUUGUAGCAAAGUGUGAUGAAUUUUGAAUCCCUCAAAAUCAACAAAUAUUGAUGCUGAAGUGUUGACGCUCCUGCAUCAGAUAUUUUACACACAAGUGUGCGAGUUUCUGUUAGACUGAAAGUUUGUGGUCACAGUAAAACUGCUGUGAUGAACUGAGUCAAAGGCUACCAUAAUUAGCAUGCUAACAGCCAUUAAGUGACGUCACACACCCACAGGCAAGACAUGCCUAAAGGUAAAUUCAAUGUUCAAUUUUAAAGUGUAAAAUAACUGGAAAUAUGAUGUAACUUUAGUAGAAAUUUACAGUUGUAAUAAUGUUGAUUGAUCUCCAACUGAUGGUGUUUGGAUGAUAUUAAUAGUGUGUGUUUUGCAUGAAGGCUUUUUUCAUUUAAUCUCGCAGCAUAUUGUGUGUGUUUUUGUUUUUGACACAGGCAUCUGACUUUUGCACCAUCUUUGUGUAGAUGUUUACUGGGCUGUACCUCUUACAUAGAGUAAAGGAUACAUUUUCUCGCUGAAAUUAAAUAAAAGGUGUCAUUUUUAUUGUUUCAGUGCUUAAAAGCAUUUUAACGUCUCUAUUACAGAAACCUUCGCUUUUGCACCACUAGAUGGCGUCAUAUUAGUUUAAAUGCGUUUGAAUAUCAGUACGAAAUGUUUCAUUUUCAGUAUGACAGCAAUUUAGUUUCGAUUUUACUGAAUUUUUUCCACAAAGAUUACAUUUUUUUCCUAUCGAUCCUUGAAAAAUAUUCUUGUUCAGAUUUGUGCUGUUCUGUAAUCAAGGGAUUCAAAUGUAGAAUUGAAUAUAUUUUGAUCAGAAUUACAUACAAAUAGUUUUGCUGUUUUAAACAAAUUCCAAUAUGAAUCAG